AACGAACGCUGGCGGCGUGGAUAAGACAUGCAAGUCGAACGGGACAACAUCUGUAGCAAUACAGGUGUUGUUUAGUGGCGAACGGGUGCGUAACACGUGGGCAAUCUGCCGAGAAGUGGGGGAUAGCUCGCCGAAAGGCGAAUUAAUACCGCAUAUGAUCAGUGAAGACAUCUUCACGACAUCAAAGCCGGGGCAACCUGGCGCUUCUUGAUGAGCCCGCGGCCUAUCAGCUAGUUGGUGAGGUAACGGCUCACCAAGGCUAUGACGGGUAGCUGGUCUGAGAGGACGACCAGUCACACUGGAACUGAGACACGGUCCAGACACCUACGGGUGGCAGCAGUCGAG
rnacentral:rRNA from 1 species